GGGCUAUAGCUCAGUGGUAGAGCACCUGCCUCGCAUGUGUGAGGCACUGGGUUUGAUCCACAGGACCA
rnacentral:tRNA from 1 species